AGGAUAAACGCUGGCGGCGUGCAUGAGACAUGCAAGUCAAACGGACGAUCGGGGUUCGCUCUGAUCGUUAGUGGCGGACGGCUGAGUAACGCGUAGGUGACCUGCCCCGAAGUGGGGAAUAACUGCCCGAAAGGGUGGCUAAUACCGCAUGUGGUGGUGCGUUCGAUCGCACCAGUAAAGCCGCAAGGCGCUUCGGGAGGGGCCCGCGUCCGAUUAGCUCGUUGGUGAGGUAACGGCUCACCAAGGCGACGAUCGGUAGGUGGUCUGAGAGGACGAUCACCCAGACUGGGACUGAGACACGGCCCAGACUCCUACGGGAGGCAGCAGUCGGGAAUUUUGCGCAAUGGACGAAAGUCUGACGCAGCAACGCCGCGUGAGGGAUGAAGGCCUUCGGGUUGUAAACCUCUUUUCCAGGGAAGAUAAUGACGGUACCUGGCGAAUAAGUCACGGCUAACUACGUGCCAGCAGCCGC
rnacentral:rRNA from 1 species